AUUGAACGCUGGCGGCAGGCCUAACACAUGCAAGUCGAGCGGUAGCGGGAAAGUAGCUUGCUACUUUUGCCGGCGAGCGGCGGACGGGUGAGUAAUGCCUGGGGAUCUGCCCAGUCGAGGGGGAUAACUACUGGAAACGGUAGCUAAUACCGCAUACGCCCUACGGGGGAAAGCAGGGGACCUUCGGGCCUUGCGCGAUUGGAUGAACCCAGGUGGGAUUAGCGAGUUGGUGAGGUAAUGGCUCACCAAGGCGACGAUCCUUAGCGGGUCUGGAGGGGUGAUCAGCCACAGUGGAACAGCGACACGGUCCAGACUCAUAUGUGCGGCAGCAGUGGGGAAGAGUGCACCAUGGGGGAAUCCCUGAUGCAGCCAUGCCGCGUGUGUGAAGAAGGGCUUCGGGUUGUAAAGCACUUACAGCGAGGAGGAAAGGUUGGUAGCUAAUAACUGCCAGCUGUGACGUUACUCGCAGAAGAAGCACCGGCUAACUCCGUGCCAGCCGCCUCCGUAAGAC
rnacentral:rRNA from 1 species